rnacentral:rRNA from 1 species
UACGUAGGCAGCAAGCGUUGUUCGGAAUUACUGGGCGUAAAGAGUGUGUAGGCGGUGCUCUAAGUUUGGUGUGAAAUCUCCCGGCUCAACUGGGAGGGUGCGCCGAAAACUGGAAUGCUUGAACAUGGGAGAGGAAAGCGGAAUUCCUGGUGUAGCGGUGAAAUGCGCAGAUAUCAGGAGGAACACCGAUGGCGAAGGCAGGUCUCUGGGCUGUAAC